UACGAAGGGGGCUAGCGUUACUCGGAUUGACUGGGCGUAAAGGGCGCGUAGGCGGUUUGUACAGUCAGACGUGAAAUUCCUGGGCUCAACCUGGGGGCUGCGUUUGAUACGUGCAGACUUGAGUGCGGAAGAGGGUCGUGGAAUUCCCAGUGUAGAGGUGAAAUUCGUAGAUAUGCGGAGGAACACCGAUGGCGAAGGCAAUCCCCUGGGCCUGCACUGACGCUCAUGCACGAAAGCGUGGGGAGCAAACAGG
rnacentral:rRNA from 1 species